GAGAUUUUCUGAAGGAGAAUGGGAAGAGGAAAGCAAUGUGGUCAAAAUGUAGGACAUCAUAUUGAAGUCAACCCGCAUAGUUACAUUACUGUGAGAGAAGAAUAAUUCUGAACACACUAAUAUUUCCACUUACUAUUUAAUCUUUCUGAAACUCGCACAUAUGCCAUAUACCUAGCAGAUGCCAAGGUUCUGCCAUUUUUUGUCACUCGCAGUCAUUCAAGAAUACUAUUACAUCUUUUUAGGAAUUUGGUGGAGGGAUGACUGGAAUCUCAAGGAAGACCUGUGCCCUGCAGAUUUCCAGUUCUGCUUUCAUGGAUGUUGUCAGAGGGUCCCCAUCUCCAGGGAACAACAAUGAAAUAGAGUAAUUGAAUGUGGCACUGCAGCUCUCUGAGCUUCUCCUCACUUAUCAGUGCCGGUUACUGCUUCCCCUCAUUAAUUCCAUUACAGGGGCUGGCAGCCACUGACUUGACAUGCCCCUGUCUGAGCUGAAAUCACUUCUUCAGCAGAUGCCAGCCCCUCACUCCUCACUCACAGGGCUGUUCUGACACAGUCAGUGCAACUUCUCACAUGCUGGAGCUGGAAGGAGCAACCUGAGGCUCAUUCACUAUCCCAACCCAAAAAAAGGGAAUAUGUGGUAACUUAGCUCAUGUCAUUAUUUUGCAUCAUCAACUUUGUACAGGAUAGUAGUAAGUGUGGAAUUCCAUGUAGCCAGUAAAUAACACGUAACAAAAAUGAACGUAAAAAGAAAAGCUAUUGUGGAAAGGUGACAAGGUGACAAGCACACAGCCCAGAGAAGGAAGAGAAAAGCACAACCCACGUUAAUUCCUCCUGCUUUGCUGAUUACUAUGUAACAGAUUACUUCGAAAAUCGCUACUGGAACCUUUACUCGAAGAGAUGAAAUUAAAUGGCAGGCCUGAGAAAUGCAGAUCAGCAGAGAACACCUGACCAGGCAUAAUAACACAGGACUAUGAGAUUGGGAAGGCUGUUAACAUCCAUUUGCCCAAGUACUAAAUAACAGCCCCAGUUUGCAGUCCAUACAAAAAUAGAUAGAUAGAUAGACAGAUAGAUAAUCAAACAAAACAGAAGUAGGAGAGCCUUAAUAGAUCACCUUACAUACCAUCUAUACUGAAAAAUACCUGCCUGGGGCAGCAUAAUUUAGACCAUUCUUGAAGAGCGAUCGGCUACUGGGUGCACUGUAUUUGAAUUAAAGUUUCACCUUCAGAACCUUAUCUGCUCCAUUAUAGCUGACAAAAUGGAUAUAAAACAUAUUAAGAUUCACAUUUGCAUAUUAAUAUAAAUAUAUGUAUGUUAAAUACUGAGAAAAGUGAGUAACUUUAAGAAUACUUCUACACCCA
rnacentral:lncRNA from 1 species